rnacentral:lncRNA from 1 species
CUGACGAUCAUCUUACAGUUCUGAAACACAGCUGCUGCGUCACCAAAGAUGAAGUCGAUUGUUCCAGAGAUAAUGCAGUCGCGGUAGAAUUGCCUGUGGGUCUGGGUGUAGAGAGUAUCUUGGUAACCGUCUAUCUGGCAGUUGUAGAAGAUGGACAGGUCGGAUUGAACACGCAGUGCCACGGCUUGGUGUCCUCUGGCUCCAGCAGUGUUCUCAAAUCCUAUGUCCUUAGCAAUGAAGUAAUCUCCGAUCACAGCUGCAUGCGUCAUAAAUUUAAAAUGUACUUUUAAAGAGUUUCAUUUGUUAGGUAUCAAAAACUUAUGCAUGUCACACGAAUUAGAUAUCGACACUCACCGACAGUUGCGGUUUUGAACGUUUGGACACCAUCGGCAUAGUUCUUGUUACCGGUGAUCUUGGUCUUGGUAGGGCCAUCACCGAUGAACAUGACAUUGGUCAUGUGCUUGUCCAGAACCACCUGCUCACUGUACACACCCUCCUUGAUGUAGAUCACAAACGUCUUUAGAACGUUAUCCUUAGGGAUAUCCUUGAGCGCCUCAUUGACAGUCUUGUAUUUUCCGCUUCCGUCCUUGGCGACUAUAACGUCAGGCUUAAGGGAGAUGGGAUUGGCAGUGGCGAUGUCGAGCUUGCGUCCUUCAAUCCAUGAAGGUAUGAUCUUAGGCGCCUUCUUUGGGUCCAUAGGAGUAUCUGCCAAGAGACGACGUUGGCUUUUAAGGCUGCUGGUUCUGAAGAGGUUGCCGAUUUCAGUGGCCAUAGCGAGUGCAUUCUUGGUGAGUUCUUGUGAUGUCUUUAAAAAGUUCUUCAUUUUAGCCCCGGCUUCACCAGGGGUAUUGUCGAACCCAUCCAAGCAAGUCUGUUCGUAUUGUAGGGAGGCACUAAGCCACACCUUAAGGUCUUCAACGUACUCUUUGAGCUUGGUCACUUCGAACGGGCCGAUCUUGUCAGCUGACCUCUUUAGAUCGUCAAUGGAGUACUCAAUGAGCUCCCUGCAGUUUUGAAGUGCCUGGUUUCCCAGAUUAUCCUUGGCAAUCUCUUUUAAGGUGUCAGAGUUAUUGAUCACCUCUUGGAGUUUCUCUAUGGCGAUCUGGAAACCUAUCUUUACAAGCUCUUUUGGGUCGGUGACGUUGCCGGCUUUUUCAGAUAGGGCAUUCUGGCAGGUUUCCUUGUAAUCUGUUGGUUGGCAGACGGUUUCGAUUGCCUUAGAGGUUGUGGCUGGUUUCUUCUCGUCAUUUCCGCCUUUAUGGCUUUUGGUGACCCCAACAGCCACAGCAACCACCAUGGCCACCAGAAUCAACGCCGACACGCUAAUGAUGGCGAUCUUCUUCUUCUUGCCGUGUCGGUCAUUUCCGCCCAUGUUGAAUGAUUAACAAUAAGUCUCAAAGACAAACGGUGCGGGUAUCCUGGUGGUGAAAAAGAUAUAAGAGAUUUUUUGUUUUGUUCUUCUUUUUCAGGUGUGUUGCUGCAUGCUGUUGGGGCCCCUUUUUAUUGGAACGUUUUUAUUCAAGCAGUGCGCAGUAGUUGCUUAUUGAUGCCUCGCUGCUUGGAAUGUUUUUGGGAAUGAAUGAAUUUAUAGGGGAUAAGAUCUCCAAAUGACAGUUUUUGCAGUUAGGAAACUUGAGGUGUGGUACGUCUCCAUCUAAUUAUAAUUAGUGGUGGUUGACGAUUUCCUAUUUUGGGUUAAUAAAUUGAAUGAAGCUUCCGAGCAUGGUUGUAGCAACAAUAAUUUUACAGGAGCUACUCAUCAAUCAUUACCGGUACAAGGUGGUCGGCUUCCCCAUAUCCUAACAACAACAAAAAUAAUCAUCGCCGUAAGAGAUUUUACAGGAGCCAAUUAUAAUACACUAGCCUCUUAACAUGUGCGAAUUUUUCUAAAAAAUAAAAUAAAAUGAAAUAGAGAUGUAGUGGGGCAAGUUUGCAAAUAGUAUUUUAGUUGGACAAAAAUGUAAAAUGUAGAAGUAUUAAAAGGCAAAUAAUAUUACAUUCUUAACAUUGUCUAAUAUUUUCAGGUUCUUCAACAUUUUGCAAUAUUAUGCACAAAUUGGGAAGUUCAAUUUUUUGGUUUCAAGCUUUAACACCAAAACUUGGGUUUCCCAUUAUAAGAGUUGAGAUUAACACGUAUUGAGUCGAUCUAUAUAUUGUAUAUGUAUUCUUUGUAGGCUAAGAUCGAUGUUAGACAACCGGUGUGUAUGUAUAUGGUCACACCAUCGAGAUGAGCAGAUAUAGUGUAUAUUGGACGCAGGGGCGGAGCCAUUUGAAGGCCUGAAGGGGUUCAUACCCCCCCCUAUGAUUCCACCACAACCAAUAUUAGAUAGCUAACAACAUUUCUUAGUCUACUUACUACGAAGGAAACCUAUUUUUAACGACAUAAUUACUAUGAAGGAAAUCUUGAUUUAGCUACAUGAGUACGUAAACAACAACAACAAACUUAAUAAAUAAUAAAUAAUAAACUUUGGUGGAAUAUUUUUAAAAGUAUGUUGUACUUGUGGUUAAUAACUCUAUAUAUGGACGAAUAAUUUGUCUGUUAUAUACUAACUUUUUCUUCACAUAUAUGUAUACAGUUGUUUAACUUUUUGAAAAUAAUAAUAAUAUCUUGUGUUAACAAAAAAAUCACAAGCUUAUUCUCGAACUAACAGUUUAUAUAUCGGACCCCCCAAGAUGAUAAAUCCUAGCUCCACCAUUGAUUGGACCUCAUAUAAUCAUGUGGAGACGUAGUUUCAACUUUCAACUAAGUAAAGUAUUGCAAUUUCGAUCGGGGCUUGAUUACAAUUCAUUGCAUUGACAAGGGAUUGAUAUAUAGGGGUAUGGUUACCUCGGCUAUAUAUACGAGAAAAACGACUUUGGUCUAACAUUUAGGUAUAUGAGAUUUAAUAAAUGUAUCGAUAUUUUUCUGUUUUAGAUAUUAGAUUAUCCAAAUCGAUACAUUUUUGUAGGGGUGGGCAUAAAAUCUCGUAAUCUUGUAAUCCUGAACCCGUCCUGGUCCCGUCCUGAAAUUUGUCGGGACGGGACGGGAUUUAAAUCUCAAAACGUUAGGCCUGUCCCGUUCCGUCCCCUCCCUAUACAACGGGAUGACGGGACGGGACGUGGUAUGGAUAAUUCAAAUCCCGUUUAGCCCCGUCCCGAUUAUUUUAAUGAUUGAUUGUUUAUUGAUUGAUAAGUAAUUUAAACCUUUCAUUUAAGUGUUUUAAUCUUAGCUCUUUGUUUCUUUAAGUUACUAGGUUGUCUCCAAUUCAAUAACAAUGAUGUUUAAUACUUUAAUUUGUUGAUUGUUGCACACUCUCUUCUUGCACCGUAGUAAUGAUGACAAGUUUAGAGAAAGUAAGCAGUAAACUCUUUUAUUACACCGUGUUAUAUUUGUAAAUAUAUUACAAGUACUUGUUAAUACUUAAUAGAGUAAAUAACACUAUAAAACUAUGAAACAUUUUCUUUUGCUUACAAGUUUAUUUUUAACUUUUUUAUCUGGGACUGGACCCGUCCCGUCCCAACUGAGAUAAGGCUCGGGUGGGAUGAAAUCUAAAAAACGCAAAACCCGUCCCGUCCCAUCCUGAUUUCAAUAUCCGUUGCGGGUUGUAGGAUUAGCUCUAUCCUGUCUCAUCCCGUCCCAUGCCCACCCCUAUAUUUUUGAAGUACUACAUGUUAAAAAGAAACAUGCCUAAGACCCUAAAUUAUACAAAAAAAUCUUACACCAUAUGAGGUGGCAUAUGUCACAUGAUCUGAAGAUUUCUAGCAUGCCAUUCAAUUUAUUUAUUUUUUAUCUAAAAAAUAUAUUGAUGUUUUGUUAGAAAACUGAUGGUAUCAUUAUUCUAGAAAAUUAGAAGGAUUAAAUUCAGUUUAAACACCUCCCCCCCCCUAAUGAAGUUUGCGGUUAACUUUAUUUCAGUCUCAUUUCUUCCAAUUUUAAAAAUAUCCCUCUUGAUUUUCUAAUUUUCAUCAAUCGUGCCCAUUCUCUAAGAUUUUGCAUUAAAUGCUAACAUGAAAUCUUAAAAAAUAGACCAUAAAGUGUGACUUUUGUCGUUAAAUUAUUGUUUUAGCCCUUAGAGAGAGCCAUAAAGUCAAAAUUAACGUUCAAAUUUGAUAAAAGAAAGUUGGAAAAUUCAUGGGGUAAAUUUUCAAAGUUGAGAGAACGUACGUACAUGGACUGAAAUGAAGUUCACCAGAAACCCGAGGGGGGUAAAAUGAAUUUAAUCAAAAUUAAAACUAACUAAUGGUAUCAAUGAAUUAAGUUGUUGCCACUGAUCUUGCUCUAAUCGAAAUUGCACAAUUUCAAGGAACAAAUUGAGAAUCAAUUCUUGGGGAUAAGAAGCCCUAGAUUUGUGCCAGUGUUUGCACAUUACAUGUGUUGUCUGCUUUAAGUGGUCGGUGAGUUUCUUGUUUCAUCAAAUGGUCAUUGCCUCCUAGUGGUACGGUGAAUCUAAGUAUCGUCAAAUUUAUUUUCUGACGGCAACAUAGUUGGACAACUGAAUUAUUUGAUAUUAUGAUGUGUAAGCGUGUUACAUAUCUAGUGAUCUUUCAAGUAUUUCAUUGUUGUGUGAAAGCAAAUACAUUAGAGCAAUACUUUUUUCUAUUUGGUGACUGCUUAAGUACAUAUUUAUUGUAGAUUUAUGAUGUUAUUUCAGGUCUUUAUAAUAACGAGUUUAGGCUUAGUGUUACCCUUGUAUUCAAAAUAUUCAUUAAUCAAGACUUGGGGGCAGUCGUACCAGCCUUUUAUUAAUAUAUAUAUAUAUAUAUAUAUAUAUAUAUAUAUAUAUCCCUAGAUUCUUGAAUCAAUGAGCGGAUAUCAUAAAGCGAUAUGCAUGAAAGCAAGAAAGAUUAUGUUCCAAUUGAAAGAGCAAAUUCGUGGGCAUAACUAUACCAAUCGAGAAUCAAAUGCAAUUUCCUUUUUGUCAAUGUUGUGUUGCUUUUAUGAUUGCAAAUUAAUUGUGUCCAUUUAGAAAUCACUAAUAAAGUCAUUAAAACUAUGCCCCUAAGGUUAUAUGUUUACAUGGUUAUUAGAUGGGGUGUGAAACUCAAGAGCUAGAGUCUGAUCGAAUAUGAAUAUAUAUCUAGAGGACAUAUACAACAAGAGUGAUAUGCUUCUUCAGUACAACCUAGCUAGUCAAGAAGAAGCUUCAAGCUUGAGUGUUGUUUUGGAGUACAUUGACGAGACAUGGCCGUAGCACAAUCUGCUUACAACAGACCUUCAAAUGAGGGCUAUAUGUCUCGAUUUUGGAUAACAAGAUGCACGACCUUAUAGGAUUUUAUAAUAGUUGGUGAAUUUAUAGAAAAUAAAAACAGUACAAGAAGCCGAUGAUUGUCUGCAGAUCUUUGAAGAGCAUGGGCUCGAGGAGAAGUUCUUCGAUGGUAGUGAACAAAAUUGGGACAAUAAUAAUUAACAUAUUCAUAUCGUAUAGAGAGAUGCAUGGUUACCCAAUUGAGAAGCUUGAGUUGUGGAUCGACAGCUGCAGAGAAGGUGCCCAGAAACAAGGCCAACUGGCGAAGCUUGCAUUAUGCCAUCAUCACCCACUACAGAUUUCAAAUCUACUUUUUCUAUCUUUUGGUUUAAGACUGAUAAUAUUACAAUAUAUAUUUAUAUAUGUGAUAUGUCUGAAGGUUUAGAGAGCACAAAGUAAUCCCAAGCACGCUCAGUAAUCAUGUGGCAAAGUUGUAUACUAAAUAUUACAAGAACUCAGUAAGAGUGGGAUGAACAGAAUUGGGAGGUGAUCGAAGCUAGUAAACAAACAUAGGCAACUAGUCACCGACUAGACAUGCCUCCCGCUCCCAGUAACAAUAAGAAGGUGAAAAAUUUCCCACUAUUACUUGAAUCCUUUUGGCUAACAAACUGUAGUGCGCGCUUACACACGCAUCAGUCCAGCCUCAUAUGGCACACCGCUGGGCUUGAUCCAGUUUUCACCGAACAGAAGACUGCUUGCGGAAAACUCGUCGGCUUGAUCGCGGGUGACCAUCUUAAACCAGCUCACCCUCUUGUUGGUGGCCGAACCGGAUCCCCUGUUUGAGAACUCGCCGAACCAGCAUUCCUCAGUGUUGCUUUGGCCAGUCCAUGGUGUCCAGCCCUCGGGGCUGAUGACAUCAUCGAUCUGGGAUUGCAUCACGACGGUCCUGGAGUAGGUGUGUGCUGGCCUGCCCAAGAAGGCCGUUUUGUCCUUGUAUUCUUUGUCGGCGCUGAUGGUGCUGUUUUGGAAGACGAUGGCGGUAGGCUGGCGCUUGUCGCUCCUUUCUUGGGCAGUGACCGUGGCCUUGUCAUCUCCUUCGGGCUUCCUGAUGAUCAUCUUGCAGUUCUGGAACACGACGGCUGCGUCACCGAAGAUGAUGUCCACGGCUCCUGAGAUGGUGCAGUCGCGGUAGAAUUGCCUGUAGGUCUGGGUGAAGAGAGUGUUUUGGUAACCAUCCAUCUGGCAGUUAUAGAAGAUGGACUGGUCGGAUUGAACACGCAGUGCCAUGGCUUGGUGUCCUUUGGCUCCGGCUGAGUUCUCGAAUCCCAUGUCCUUUGCGAUGAAGUAGUCUCCGAUCACAACUGCACGCGUCACAAUUUGGACAAUCUAAUAAGUUAGCUGAUCGCAAAAACGUAUGCAUGUCACAUUUGCAGUCUUAAAUGAUAGCUCACUCGGUCACCAUUAAAAAAAAAAGAAAACAAAUGCAUGCAUGUCACAUGAUUUAUAUAUUUCCGAAACUCACCGACAGUUGCGGUUCUGAAUGGAUGGGUACCAUCGGCAAAGUUCUUGUCACCGGUGAUCUUAG